CCCUUAGAUGUCCGGGGCCGCACGCGCGCUACACUGAAGGAAUCAGCGUGGCUUUCUCCCUGACCCGAAAGGGUUGGGAAACCCGUUGAAUCUCCUUCGUGAUAGGGAUUGGGGCUUGAAAUUGUUCCCCAUGAACGAGGAAUUCCCAGUAAGCGCGAGUCAUAAGCUCGCGUUGAUUACGUCCCUGCCCUUUGUACACACCGCCCGUCGCUCCUACCGAUUGAGUGGUCCGGUGAGGCUUUGGGAUCUGAGCGGAAAGAGCGUUUCGCCGUUUCUGCUCGGAAAACUCAGUCGAACCUUAUCAUUUAGAGGAAGGAGAAGUCGUAACA
rnacentral:rRNA from 1 species